rnacentral:rRNA from 1 species
GCGCAGCCUGAUCAGCCAUGCCGCGUGAGUGAUGAAGGCCUUAGGGUCGUAAAGCUCUUUCGCCAGGGAUGAUAAUGACAGUACCUGGUAAAGAAACCCCGGCUAACUCCGUGCCAGCAGCCGCGGUAAUACGGAGGGGGUUAGCGUUGUUCGGAAUUACUGGGCGUAAAGCGCGCGUAGGCGGGUUGUUAAGUUAGAGGUGAAAUCCCGGGGCUCAACCCCGGAACUGCCUUUAAUACUGGCAACCUAGAGUUCGAGAGAGGUGAGUGGAAUUCCGAGUGUAGAGGUGAAAUUCGUAGAUAUUCGGAGGAACACCAGUGGCGAAGGCGGCUCACUGGCUCGAUACUGACGCUGAGGUGCGAAAGUGUGGGGAGCAAACAGGAUUAGAUACCCUGGUAGUCCACACCGUAAACGAUGAAUGCCAGUCGUCGGGUAGCAUGCUAUUCGGUGACACACCUAACGGAUUAAGCAUUCCGCCUGGGGAGUACGGUCGCAAGAUUAAAACUCAAAUG